UACGUAGGUGGCGAGCGUUGUCCGGAUUUACUGGGCGUAAAGAGCGCGCAGGCGGUCGUACAAGUCGCGUGUGAAAGCCCCCGGCUCAACUGGGGAGGGUCACGCGAUACUGUUCGGCUCGAAGGCAGGAGAGGGAAGUGGAAUUCCCGGUGUAGUGGUGAAAUGCGUAGAUAUCGGGAGGAACACCAGUGGCGAAGGCGACUUCCUGGCCUGUUCUUGACGCUGAGGCGCGAAAGCUAGGGGAGCAAACGGG
rnacentral:rRNA from 1 species